rnacentral:rRNA from 1 species
UACGGAGGGUGCGAGCGUUGUCCGGAAUCAUUGGGCGUAAAGGGUGUGUAGGUGGCGCGCUAAGUCGGGUGUGAAAUUUCGGAGCUUAACUCCGAAACUGCAUUCGAUACUGGCGUGCUUGAGGACUGGAGAGGAGACUGGAAUUCAUGGUGUAGCAGUGAAAUGCGUAGAGAUCAUGAGGAAGACCAGUGGCGAAGGCGGGUCUCUGGACAGUUCCUGACACUGAGACACGAAGGCCAGGGGAGCAAACGGG